rnacentral:rRNA from 1 species
GACGAACGCUGGCGGCGUGCUUAACACAUGCAAGUCGAACGAUGAAGCUGGAGCUUGCUCCGGUGGAUUAGUGGCGAACGGGUGAGUAACACGUGAGCAAUCUGCCCUUGACUCUGGGAUAACUGCGGGAAACUGUAGCUAAUACCGGAUACGAGGCUCAAAGGCAUCUUCGGGUCUGGAAAGAAUUUCGGUCAAGGAUGAGCUCGCGGCCUAUCAGCUUGUUGGUGAGGUAAUGGCUCACCAAGGCGACGACGGGUAGCCGGCCUGAGAGGGUGACCGGCCACACUGGGACUGAGACACGGCCCAGACUCCUACGGGAGGCAGCAGUGGGGAAUAUUGCACAAUGGGCGAAAGCCUGAUGCAGCAACGUCGCGUGAGGGAUGAAGGCCUUCGGGUUGUAAACCUCUUUUAGCAGGGAAGAAGCGAAAGUGACGGUACCUGCAGAAAAAGCACCGGCUAACUACGAGCCAGCCGCCGCAGUAA